UAAUACGGAGGGGGCGAGCGUUGUUCGGAAUCAUUGGGCGUAAAGGGCGCGUAGGCGGCCGUCCAAGUCGGGUGUGAAAUCCCUCGGCUCAACCGAGGAACUGCACUCGAUACUGGUCGGCUAGAGUCCGGGAGGGGAUGGUGGAAUUCCCAGUGUAGCGGUGAAAUGCGUAGAUAUUGGGAAGAACACCGGUGGCGAAGGCGGCCAUCUGGACCGGAACUGACGCUGAGGCGCGAAAGCCAGGGGAGCGAAUGGGAUUAGAUACCCCGGUAGUCCUGGCUGUAAACGAUGGGCACUUGGUGUGGCGGGUACUGACCCCCGCCGUGCCGAAGCUAACGCGUUAAGUGCCCCGCCUGGGGAGUACGGUCGCAAGGCUG
rnacentral:rRNA from 1 species